UUCCAGACUCCUACGGGAGGCAGCAGUGAGGAAUAUUGGUCAAUGGGCGGAAGCCUGAACCAGCCAAGUCGCGUGAGGGAAUAAGGCCCUACGGGUCGUAAACCUCUUUUGCCGGGGAGCAAGGGCGGGGACGUGUCCCGGCCCGGAGAGUACCCGGAGAAAAAGCAUCGGCUAACUACGUGCCAGCAGCCGCGGUAAUACGUAUGGAGCAAGCGUUAUCCGGAUUUACUGGGUGUAAAGGGAGCGUAGGCGGCCUGCCAAGUCUGAUGUGAAAUACCGGGGCUCAACCCCGGGGCUGCAUUGGAAACUGGCAGGCUGGAGUGUCGGAGAGGCAGGCGGAAUUCCUAGUGUAGCGGUGAAAUGCGUAGAUAUUAGGAGGAACACCAGUGGCGAAGGCGGCCUGCUGGACGAUGACUGACGCUGAGGCUCGAAAGCGUGGGGAGCAAACAGGAUUAGAUACCCUAGUACUA
rnacentral:rRNA from 1 species